AAAAGAACUGCGCUGGUUCCAUCACGAGCACAUGGUUUAUGAGUGACAUCGCCCCACAAUACAACAACGCGUGGGUGGGUUUUAUGAAUGAUGUCCCACGGCCCCAGAAGCUGUUAUGCACGUGGCACGUGGAUAAGGCCAUUAACAUGGAGCUCAGAAAGAAAAUUGGCGACUUAUCUACCGAAGCAGAGAUCUAAAAAAUGUUCCGUACAGUCCUAGAGCAGACGAACCAAUCAUUUUUCGAUGAGUGUCUGCGAGCUCUUCUCCACCGGUUGGGUCUCUCCUCUAACGCUGUCGCGUUCCAUUAGUAUUUUGCCCGUGAUUGGGUCCAUCGGAAGCAUUAGUGGGCAUAUUGUUUCAGAACUGGUCUCGGAAUCAACACGAACAUGUUUGUGGAAGGCUUCCACAGAGUUUUUAAAUACAGAUAUCCUAAAAGGGAAAGUCAAGAAACGCUUAGAUAACUGCAUAUUUAAUUUAUUAAAAUAUGUUCGCGACAAGACCUUCGAUCGACUAAUCAAAGAAGCCAAGGGGAAAUCUACAGAUCGAGUAAAUAUGAUACAUGAUCGUCACUUACGGAGCCUGUCCUUACCUGUUGAGUCUGUUAACUGCGAGGAAGAUGAUACACGGACAGUUCUUGAAGAGGACAGGAGAAGUUCACAUUAAGUCUGCCGAAUAGCAAGUGCUUGUGAGGAAAGAAAUUGUGGGUUGAGAUUCUAGGGGUGCUGCGUCUGUGUUCAUCUUUAUGUCUGCAACUGCCUCGACUGCUUGAUUACAAGCACUAUUUGGAAACACAUAUAUCUCGUGAACAGAUGUUUGAAUGGUAGCUCAGUUUCUAAAGACUACCCUAGUCAGUUCCCACGCCCAGAAAAUAGUUCCAUGGAUCCUGACUACCAGGAGGCAUCUAGUGAUACUGCAUACUACGACCGUACCAACGAGAUGAACUUUCUACGAGACUGUCUUAAUUAAAGAACUGUGGGCGAGAAUAGGGAGAGUGCCAUAAAGAGGACGAAACGAUCCCUCAGAGCGAAAUUGCUCAGAAUGAUCGAUGACGUUGAAGUCUGCGAAGAUGAAGAUGUGCUGCAACAGUUGGAGAAAAGUGUCAACUCCUCUCAUAGUUUUCUCACUUCGAUCAAGCAGCACAAGCAUAUGACUAGUACAUUAUCAGCUGCUAUACCUGAAAGGAAUGCACCUGCCAACAAAAAGAUUGAGGUCCAGAAACGUUUUUUUUUUCCCACUAAACGAAAGACACAGAGGAGAAAUAUCAGAUUGGCAAAACCAACUAAGGGAGAGAAGAUGGAGAUGAUUGAGAAUUGGAAGAAUAAUGAGCAAUCAGAGCAGAACAACAUCAAAGUACCUGUAGACUUCAUAUUGCAAAACGAUAGCGCACAAAAUACGUUAGUCUUCAUUGUUUGAAAAUUUUCUACUUGCAUAUAACACCUGUCUCACCUCACCACCCGAUAAUUUCUCUUGUAAGAUUGCAGGAAAUGCUUCACUGGUUUACUGAGGAAAAACAUCAGUCCAUUAAAGAUCUGGUCAAAUCUGCCAUUAAACUGUUUCUGACGUAUUGGAUAUAGACAGGGCAUCUUUGAUAACCGGAGAGGCAAUAGAAGCUAACUUAGCAGACUUGAAGAGGUUUUUAUACAGAUGAUGCCUGGAAAGCAGUGGCAAAUUAGCCGAAAAACUGUACGAAGACUGGUUUUGCCAUCAUUGCAAACAAUCAAGGUACUUCGACAUGAUUCAGUGCGAGAGUUUCUGCCACUGGUUUGACUGGUGUUGUGCAAAAAUAGAUGAGGAGCCCGGUGAAUGGAUUUUCCCCACAUGUGAACAAAUAUCCCAGAAAAUCAGUGUUCCACGUAAAAAGCUCCCUCGAUUGAGGCCAAGCCACAUUUCUCCUGCAGAACAUACUGCAAAUUAAAAAUAUCGGUCGCAGCGUCACGCAACAUUGCGUGAUUUUCCAAACGUGACAAGCAGUUGCUGCAUUAUUUUAAAACUUACAAACUACAUGGUCCUUUAUAAAUAAAUUCAACAUAAGAAGAACGUGAUAAAACGGUCUUUCAGUUUUUAUAUCGGUGUAUAGAUUAUUUAGCUAUUCCCUGUGAGUGACUGUUUAAUACAGGUUCAACCGUAAUAUGCACUUCUGUUGUAGAGUUUGGAAGUGCAUGUACUGUAGUGUUGCUGGUGAUUGAUCCCCCCUAAUAAAGAAGUGUUAAGAGA